rnacentral:lncRNA from 1 species
CAGCCCCUCUCUUUUAUUUUUAAGGGCAGAAAAAGACGAAGUGAGAAAGGAGCCUCCCUUAUCCUCCUCCUCUUUCCCCUCGCAGUCCAGCAUCAAAACACUCAUUCUUAGGAUGGAGCAGGGGUGGAAAAGUGCAGGAACAUUAGGCCUUGUCUGUGUAUUGGCUCCGUUAGGAGCUAUUGUUGCUCAGCAGCUGUUCCUCUUGCUUCUUAGGAAGCCCUGCCUGCAAGUGGGCUGGGGAACCAGUGUGACACUGGCAGCUGGGGGAAGUGGGGAGGAACAUCGAAUAUUUUUUCACCAUGAGAAAGAUGGGCUUUGUUUCUCAAAAAAGAACAGAGAUCCUGUUUCUGGGUAGCUGUUAUCAGAAACUGGUUUUAAUAAAUACAGUUGGAGAGUGAAAGUAAGAGUGUGUGUGUGUGUGUGCGCGUGCGUGUGUGUUUUGGGGGCGGGGGAUAGAAGAGAAAGAGAACAUAAAGUCACAACCUACUCAACCUUUAAUCCUUUUUUUAAGGUAGGAAAAGCUGAAAAAUUUCAGCCAAAUGAAAAGCAUAAAGUGGUUGAGAAAGGCUUUAUGACUAAGAGAGGAUUGCAAUGGAAAAUACGUAAAAAGAGAAGUUAAACCAGCUGGCUUAUUUAAUUUUGACUCCCCACUCCCCCUUUCACUUUUUUUUUUACCUUCAGCCUAAACUAGGGAAAAAUGUACUGUGUAAAUAUUCAGUGUUUUUCUUAGUUUUUAUCCCUAACAAAAUUUUUUACAGGACUUAGUUUAGUGAAUCUCCAGAGACUGGGUGUGAACGUGACUUUUCACCCCUGGGUCACGGGUCACUUCCUGCUUCUUCUUAUAGGAAGAUUGCUUAAGAAGAAGCUAAUAUAAAAGCACCAUGUUCAUGAUGCUUUGACAUCUUGGGGCAUCUUGCAGACCAGGGAUGGACUGCCCCUCCCAGGUUUGGCUAAUUCCUGGAGAUACUAAACAACUCGGCUUAGAACACAUCUUUUAUAUGCAAGACAACAAAUCCAGGCUCCAUACCCUCAUCUCAUCCUUUUAUCAGGCUCCUCCAGCACAGAACAUUAUCCUCCUGCUCUAAGUCACCCAGAGCCAGGAGAAUUUUACCCUCUUGUCAGUCUUGGCCAUGUGAUUUCAUCUGGCAAAUGACAUGGGAGUGGAAGUGACAUGCCCAGAAGAUUUGAGAGCUGUGGUGAGAUCCCAUCAUUUCCCUUCUGACACAAGGCACACCACAUCCCCAGAUGGAGGUAUUCUGUCAAUCUGGAUCCCAAAGUGAAAAGGAUGAAGGACAAAGUCACAACUGAUGGAGAGCCAUCAUGGAAGAUGAGGAAAAUAUUAGCUUUACUCUUACAAAGCACUGAGAUUUGAGGGUCACUUGUUCUUGCAGCAUAGCCCAGCAAAGAAUGACCGAUACACUUUUCUUCACAAAACCUCUGUCUAAUUGAACUCAAACUCUGAACCAUACGCUGAAUGAAAGAAUGGUCCGUUCCUAUUUCGAUAGGUCAACCCUCAUUUUUAUAAGUGCACAGCUUCAGGAAGGCACACAUGCAGUCAUGAAGGGAGAAAGUGGAGUUCUCAACUAUUGAAGCCAGUGAGCUAACUUCUGCAUUCACCGACAUGAAACAUGCUGAAGUCUGUUUGCCUUGCAGUUCUCUGCUGGAUGUGCCAAGAGGGCUCUAUUUUAGAGAAGGAAAACUAACAAUAGAUUCCCGCCAACUAAAAGGGGAUUUCUUUUCCUGGGAAGGAAAAAAUAAAUGGAAAAAAAGAUCUUUAUCUGGUGAUUUGUACUGAAAUGAGAAUAGUCAGAGCUCAUCAUCAUAUCAUUUUUAAUAGUAACGUCUCAUAGAGAAACAUAAAAGAAACUUAUUAAAGACAAAAAUAGUUUAUACAAACUUUUUGCUAAGCAUAUAAAGUUGAAUGCAUAACAUUCCUUCCUCCUCCAGUCUACCUUCUCCAUUCUUGUUUCAUUUCCUUUUUUUGUCUUUUUUCCUUAUCCUUACCCAAAAUAUACUCUAGGCCAUUUUGGAAGAUGCAAGGA